rnacentral:rRNA from 1 species
UACGUAGGGUGCAAGCGUUGUUCGGAAUUACUGGGCGUAAAGGGCGCGUAGGCGGGCCCGUAUGUCGAUUGUGAAAGCCCCGGGCUCAACCUGGGAAUUGCAGUCGAAACUGCGGGUCUUGAAUGCUUGAGGGGAUGGCGGAAUUCCCGGUGUAGAAGUGAAAUUCGUAGAUAUCGGGAAGAACACCUGAGGCGAAGGCGGCUAUCUGGCGAUGCAUUGACGCUGAGGCGCGAAAGCGUGGGGAGCAAACAGG